CCCUUAGAUGUCCUGGGCUGCACGCGCACUACACUGACGAACUCAACGAGCUUAUCACCUUGGCAGAGAUGUCUGGGUAAUCUUUUGAAAGUUCGUCGUGCUGGGGAUAGAUGAUUGUAAUUAUUCGUCUUGAACGAGGAAUUCCUAGUAAGUGUGAGUCAUCAGCUCGCGCUGAUUACGUCCCUGCCCUUUGUACACACCGCCCGUCGCUCCUACCGAUUGAAUGGUCCGGUGAGGUUCUCGGAUUUUUUCUGUUGUUUGGUUCGCUAAACGAUUGAAGAGAGAAGUUACCCAAACCUUACCAUUUAGAGGAAGGAGAAGUCGUAACA
rnacentral:rRNA from 1 species